rfam:Winogradskyella sp. PC-19 genome.
AUUAAUAACAGAGGUCGAGAACCUCAAAUAAUUAAU